CCGUUAUCAAAAAGAUGACAGGGCUGAAUAAUAUUCCAUCGCUUGUGUGGACCCCACUUUCUCCAGUCACCCUCGAUAGACCCUGGGGUGCUCUCACCUUUGGCUGUUGUGAACACUGCUGCCACCAGAAGUGGAACUGCCGGACAUGUGGUGAUUCCACGUUUAAUUUUUUUAGGAAGAGAACAUUGUUUCUUUCGUAGUAGAUUUUCAAUUGUGUAAUAACUUAUCCCAGAGAUGAAACUUUCACUCAGGAGAAGUUUGUCUAAAGCGGUUGAAGAAGUGAGCCAAACUCUCCAUUUCCUUUUCAUUCUAAAAUACAUUUCCAAUAAAGUGGUAAAACGGAAAAAAAUACUACCAUGGGCCUUGGGAGAUGUGGUUCUAGCUUUGGCUUUCAUAGUUUCUAGUUGUAUGACUUUGAAUAAAUCAGUU
rnacentral:lncRNA from 1 species